GAAUUCACUAGUGAUUUCUGGUUGAUCCUGCCAGACCCGACUGCUAUCAGAGUGGGACUAAGCCAUGCGAGUCAACGUAGCAAUGCGUGGCGAACGGCUCAGUAACACGUAGUCAACAUGCCAGGGGACGUGGAUAACCUCGGGAAACUGAGAUUAAACCGCGAUAGGUCAAGAUUUCUGGAAUGGAUCGUGUCUUAAAUCUACAUGGCCCCUGGAUUGGACUGCGGCCGAUCAGGCUGUUGGUGAGGUAAUGGCCCACCAAACCUAUAACCGGUACGGGCUCUGAGAGGAGAAGCCCGGAGAUGGGCACUGAGACAAGGGCCCAGGCCCUAUGGGGCGCAGCAGGCGCGAAACCUCUGCAAUGGGCGAAAGCCUGACAGGGUUACUCUGAGUGAUUUCCGCUAAGGAGAUCUUUUGGCAGCUCUAAAAAUGGUGCAGAAUAAGGGGUGGGCAAGUCUGGUGUCAGCCGCCGCGGUAAUACCAGCACCCCGAGUGGUCGGGACGGUUAUUGGGCCUAAAGCAUCCGUAGCCGGUUGUGCAAGUCCUCCGUUAAAUCCAGCCGCUCAACGGAUGGGCUGCGGAGGAUACUACAGGACUAGGAGGCGGGAGAGGCAAGCGGUACUUAGUGGGUAGGGGUAAAAUCCUUUGAUCCAUUGAAGACCACCAGUGGCGAAGGCGGCUUGCCAGAACGCGCUCGACGGUGAGGGAUGAAAGCUGGGGGAGCAAACCGGAUUAGAUACCCGGGUAGUCCCAGCUGUAAACGAUGCAGACUCGGUGAUGGGCUAGCCUCGUGUCAGCCCAGUGUCGCAGGGAAGCCGUUAAGUCUGUCGCCUGGGGAGUACGGUCGCAAGACUGAAACUUAAAGGAAUUGGCGGGGGAGCACCACAAGGGGUGAAGCCUGCGGUUCAAUUGGAUUCAACGCCGGAAAUCGAAUUCCCGCGGCC
rnacentral:rRNA from 1 species